CUACGGGAGGCAGCAGUAGGGAAUAUUGGACAAUGGGUGCAAGCCUGAUCCAGCCAUGCCGCGUGCAGGAAGAAGGCCUUCUGGGUCGUAAACUGCUUUUUCCGGGGGAUAAAAUACUCUUGCGAGAGGAAUUGAAAGUACCUGGAGAAUAAGCCACGGCUAACUACGUGCCAGCAGCCGCGGUAAUACGUAGGUGGCAAGCGUUGUCCGGAUUUAUUGGGUUUAAAGGGUGCGUAGGCGGUUUUUUAAGUCAGUGGUGAAAUACGGCAGCUUAACUGUCGAGGUGCCAUUGAUACUGGGAAACUUGAGUACUGAUGAGGUAGGCGGAAUGGACGGUGUAGCGGUGAAAUGCUUAGAGAUCGUCCAGAACACCGAUAGCGAAGGCAGCUUACUAAGGAGUAACUGACGCUGAGGCACGAAAGUGUGGGGAUCAAACAGGAUUAGAUACCCUGGUAGC
rnacentral:rRNA from 1 species